rnacentral:lncRNA from 1 species
AAGAAAAAUGGAAGUACUAUGUGAUAGUAUGUUACUUGGAUUUUUAUUAGGCUCUUCCUGGGUUUAAAGUUUACACGCUUAUCCAUCUUCCGCAAUCUGGAUAGGAGCCUGUCACAUCCGGUUUUAUAAACUCAACCAGGUGCUCACUUUAUGCAUGCGAUCAUAUUUCAUACAUAAAGUUUGACUUCAUCAGUGUUACAUCACCCUAUCACGAUUAUUAAUAUAAAAUGAGCCGUUGGUCCGAAAGAAAAUUACAAGGAGAUGAUGUAUAUGCGGAAGCAUGACUCCAUAGUGACAGGGCAAUCAACUAGGGGUCACAUCCCAGAUCUUCAUGGCCUUCAUCACCUGAGCAAUAUUUAUGGGGCAGUGUGACAUCUCAAGAGCCAAAUCAAGAGAAAUUAAGAAAUAAAUCAAAGAAAAAUCAAAAUGGUUAUUUAAACACCCUUAUAAUGAUGCUCACAUGGGAAGAAAAUAAAAAAUAAAUUUUAUAUAAGAACUUAAUUUUUAGCUAAUAUAAAAGUGAUAGAUCUCUUCAAAUGAAGCAACUUUCAUAAUUGUCACUUUCCUUGAUUUUGAGCGAAAGAUAUUCAAAAAUUAAGUAGAAGUUCGGCCAAAAAUCAAAUCAUUUUCAAAUCUAGUUUUGCCGGCGUUCCACCAAACUUCUCCUAAGUUUAACUCCAAAUCCAUUGAAUUUUUCAUAUGUCGGCUUUUACAAAAGUUGUAACCAAUACUUUGAACUCCAACUUUUAUAUUUGGAGAUUCAACUGCGUAGUUCAAAAUUUGUGAGAAAAUUUGCGUUGAAGACGGCACCUUCGCAUGCCACGCACGCGCGACGCGCCCUGGGUGUGGUCACUGCGCUCGCCGUUGCCACGUGGUGCUCGAUGCCUGCCGCCGUGCCGCUCCAAGCCAAUGGCUGGCGGCAACGCAACAACGCUGGAGCGCGCCGCAGCUCGCCCUACCCUCCCGCACACGAUCUCCCUCCCCGCACGGCAAAUCCGUGGCGGCCAACCGCUGCACACGACACGCCGUAGAGCACCGGCGCGCACCACGGCACGCCAGGCCACUCCCCACACGCCUGGCCACCGCCCCACCACACCAAUGAGCCGCAAGGCUUCGCCUUGAUGCCUCGCCCCUCCCCUUCCCUUUGCCGCCUAUAAAAGGGCCCGUCCUGUGGCAUCCCGCCCCCCCGGGGCCGGGCCCGCUUACACCUGGCAGGUCUCUAGAAUAUCAAGAAUUCCCUCACAGACCAACACAAGUCUUUUCUGCGCACUUUGUCCUCACUCGUGCGCACCCGGGAAGAACUUCCCGGUCGGUCACCCAUCCCGAAAUUGCUCCGGACCAAGCACGCUUAACCCCGGAGUUCUUUAAGGAUGAGCUUCCGGAAAAGAAGUUGCAACUUGUUGGUAUGAGUAUUCUUAUCAAUCCUAUUAAGCCUUGGGCCAGGAUGUCACACGUGCCUAUGCCUCGCCGGCCGCACUCGCUACCGCCGCUCAACCACCCCCUUCCGGCCAUCCCCGUCGCUACCCAAGCGCACGAGCACCUUCCCCUACCACCACUCAACCUCCCCAGCCCCACAAACCUCUGCCACUGCCGCCACAGUCGCCGAAGCCGAAGCAGAAGCGGCCGCGCCGCCACUGCUCUGCCGCGAGCCAUCACCGACCCUCCUCCGACCCCGAGUCCUGCACCAAACCGGUAGCUGGGAGUCCCUCGUCUCCCUCCUAACACUAGCCCAUGACCUCGCGGCCCCACAUCGUCGGAAUCGAGCUCCCCGAGCCGCCAGUCGACCAAGGACCGCAUUGCAAUCUAGGUUUUAGUUUCAGGGUCCUUAGUGCAAAAAUGCAAGGGCAUGUUCUAAAUAUUAAAAAUCUCUAAGGCUCAUUCUGUAAAAGAGAAAAUUCAAGUUUGAAUAAAAAACAUAGUGAAAUAUUAAUCUUUGCUAAACAGUACCAAAACAGCACAACCUGUUUGUCUUUUGAAUAAUAAAUUUCUAAGAAUUUUAUAUGUAUACACAAUCACCAUCAAAAUAAAAUCUAUGUUUUCUUUCUAACCAAGCGUGUUUUGUGAAGGAAAGAAAUGCUUAUAAACUUGUCUAGGUGAAGUGGCCAAAAGAAAUACACCUCAUAUUUUUUUAAUGGUUUGUCAUGAAAAAUUAUAAAAGAAAUCUUAUGCAUAUGCAUCUCGUGUAGAAGCUAAUAUCGCCGACGGAACGUACGAGCUCGUCCGGAACACGAAGAAGGAUAGUAGGAGGGUGAGCUGAACGUGAUCAAGGCAAACCAAGGCCCGAACCAAAGUUCGGAAGAGCCCAAGGCUGAUUCAGGGCAGGAAAGCAAGCCACGAUGCAUAACCCUAGUUUUCAAAUUUGUACAAUAUUCUUAUUACUUAUGUAUGUGCAUUAAGUCCAUAGGAAUUGUAUUGAAACCCUAGUUGCAUGCUCCUAGUACCCAUGUUUUGAAUACUAGCAUGUUAGGUCGCUUAGUUGCUAUGCUAAAUAGGGACACGGUAAAAGUCAAGUAAUUUCCUAUCACUCACGAGAUAUAGGAGUUACCUGUUUACUUAUGUUGGAAUCAUAAGGUCGACGGGCGGGGCUUUGUGCGAUGUUCCUGAAUUUGUUGAUGCCCCGUCUGUACAGAGGAAAUUGCUAAGGUCGAAACGUGUCGGUGUUCAUGGUCAAGUUUUUGAACGUACUAAACACAUGCUGAGAAUAUGGUAAUCGGUAAGCCUAGUACUUGAUUGAACUGGGACGUGGACUUUUUCCCUGCUCUCUCUGGAAACGGUUCCCUUGGUGCAUCAUGUGGGUACAAGUGCGGCCACAGCACGACGUCAUUCCAGAGACCGGUGGGGCCUUGUAUCCAAGGGAAGUGGACCCUGGACACACACCGGGGAUCGAUGGGAACCGUUGGUAAUGUGUGGAUUUAUCGCGGUACGCGCAUGUCGUGUGUUUAGGUCCACCUUGCACGUGUAACAUCCGCGAAAAUCACCAACUUAAAUCACCCGUUAAAAAUUGCUUUCAAAAUCUUGUUACCGUUGAGCUCCCGAAAAUCCAAACUCUUCCCAGCGAUUUCGCCGUCCCGACACCCAAGCCGACAGUCAUCAUUUUAUCCUCUCCCGUAAUUUUUACCACGUGCCGGUCAACAGACCGCCGCGCGUGCUCCGACCGCGUACCGCAAUCGCCGCCGGCAUCCCCUUUCUUUUACUCUUUUUCCUCCCAUUUCUUUAAUUUCCCUUUUUCUCUGUCUUUCUCUUCUUCUCUUUCUUCUUCCUUCUUCUUUCUUCUUCUUCCUCCUUCCUUCUUCUCUUUCCUCCUCCUUCCUCCUGGCGCCUAGCGCCAUUACUCCCCCAGGCGCCCAGCCCCCCUGGCGCCGGCCCCGACCCUGCCGGCCCCCGGCCCCACCGGCUCCCAGCCCCGCCUGCCCUCCCCGGGCCCGCCUGCGCCGCUCCCCGGCGACGGCCCCUGCACGCCGGCCCCCUGCGCCAGGGCAGCACGCCGCACAGCACCGCGCCUGCUCGGCCUAGCCCCGAUCCCGCUCCACCACCACGCCGGCCCCUACCCGCACCGCCCGGAGCCGCCGGCCCCCACAUCGCCAGCUCGCCGCAACCUCUCCGCCGGCCUAUAAAAGGAAGGGCUGACGCCCCACCCCACUCCAUCUCCCAGCCAUCAGUGCCACUGCCCCUCCCCUUCAUUUAUGAUAUCCCUACAACUGCAGGAGUUCAUGUUCUAUUUCCUGUAUGCUGUUCCUGGUCUAUGAUUCUACAUGUGUAGGUUUUGAGCACCAUUUUGUAUAUUAAAACACCACUCCGGUCUAUUGUAUUUUGGGGUACCANNNNNNNNNNNNNNNNNNNNNNNNNNNNNNNNNNNNNNNNNNNNNNNNNNNNNNNNNNNNNNNNNNNNNNNNNNNNNNNNNNNNNNNNNNNNNNNNNNNNCCAGCCAUCAGUGCCACUGCCCCUCCCCUUCUGUCUCGUGCGCCAACCGCCGCUGCUGUCGUGCCAUGUGCCGCCCACCUCCUAGCCACCACCCAUCGGAGCCCCUCACGCCACCAUUUCACCCAAGGUAAAAGCAAAACGGAGCCUCCACACCUCCCUCCCACCGUCGGGGCUCGCCGCCGGCAUGGCCUGCCCAGCCGGCCGGCCACCACCGAGCCACCCCCAUUCUCCCUGUGCAACCCAGGGAAGAGGAAGAGAAGAUUCCCCCAAAUUUCUGAUCUAACCCCCAAUUCUCCCUAUUUCGUGAAAUAACCCUUCCACCUCUUUCAAAGGUUGUUUCGCAGAUGUGCCUCUCCACCACCUAAAAAUAUUUACACAUAGGUCCUUGGUUUCUCGCGGAUUAGUCCUAAACUCUCUUUUAAGCUCCUAAUCCAUGUUUAACUCACAUUUCAUGCGUCAAACUUCCCCCAAAUUAUUCCCAAAUUCGACCACGUCAUCCUCCAGUAUACUCCCGCCGAUCCAUAUCCAAAUUUCCCGAAAAUACUCAUUCUACCUAUUUUUCGUUCGCAUUCUCUAUUCGGAGCUCAACGGGUAAAAUCUUAUUUUUCUUUUCAUUUAUUUGUGUGCCCGUUUGUGUGUGCCGUAGAUCGCGGAGUACCCGAGGAGGAGCACGAGGAGGAGUUUGACCGCGAGCUCGAGCCCGAGGACCAGUAGCACGAGCCGGAACUCCCGGAAGGCUUUGAGAACGGCAAGUCCAAUCUCACCCUUUGAUGCAUAUUUAUUCCUAGUUUUAAACACAACCUAUUGGCCUGUUUUAUAAAAAUAUAUAUUGUUUUAUUGCAAGACAUGGUUGGAUAGCCACCCCUUGAUUGUUAUGAUCAUUCCUUGGUGUCCUAUAUUUAUCUCUAAAUAUGACCUGCUCUGUUUAGAUGAUAAUUACUGCUAGAAUGCUUAGGGACUCGUUACUCAAAUUCAAUCACGACUACAUGGUUUAUUUAGAAAAUAAAUGUGUGAGUGUUUUCAAAUGAGAAAAUGGGUUUUCGGGUGUAAAGGCAAGAAAUGCUAGAUGAGAUGGAUGGGUGUUUCUUGUGUGAAAUGCCAGAAUGUUGGGCUCGUACCUUAGUGGUUGAGCAAGGUUGAGAGAUAUCCAUCUCGUCAUGGUUAAGGACCGAGUUGAUGUGUCAUCUUGCCUAAUUCAACCAUCGUGCAACCACUCAACCAUUGUAUGGGCAACGGCUUAGCAUAAAUCCCACUAGUUAAACUGCUAGUCUUCGGGUGAGCUGGUGAGCAACGGAGCCCAUGGAAAAAGGAUUAAGAUCUUGGUGACUUAAGUCCCGGUUAAGACCUCGAUGGUAGGUCAUUAACCCCUUGGUUGCUUCCAUGUGGACUAGUCAGUCAUAGCUAAGGUGGGUAAUGCCUUUGUUAGGAUCCGCACCGGCACUACGGUGAUCGUGCUGCGGUACCCUACUUGUGGGAAAAGUGUACAACCUCUGCAGAGUUAAAACCUAUUCGAGUAGCCGUGUCCAUAGCAUUGGACGAGUUACGGCUUGGUCACAUAACUAGCACUUGGGGAUGAAUGAUUUUUAUGGCGUGUGUUGGAUUUUGGAAGUGUCCGGCAGUUGUGCCGUGAGCUAUGGUGGAUGGGGAGUCCGAUAGCAAUAAAAUUUGGAUCCUUUGUGUAGGAUCAACCCCACUCAAUGUUUCGGUUACUAAAAGAAAAGCUUUACCAAAAACUCUUUUGAAAACAAACUCGUGCAUGUGGUGAAAAUCUAACUUUAUUGCAAAUGAACCUUAGCCUAUCCUUGUUAUAUCCUGUGCAUAUACUUGCUUGUAUCCCCCUCUGUGGAUGGGGUUGGACUUGUUGAGUACUUUUGUACUCACCCUUGCUUCGUUGCUACAGAGGAAGACCCGGACUUCGUCGCUGAGGAGUUUGAGUAGGAGGUUGUGUCCGCACCCAAUGCUGCCUGUGGUGUUGGCCUUCACAAGAUGCUUCUACUGCCGUGUAGUCCCGAGUGCUGUCUUUUGGCAGUCGCUUGGUUAGCCGUUGUUAUUUAUUUGCUUCUUAUCGCGGCGUGGCUUUCACGCCAACUCCCUCGGGAGUUGUACGGUAACUGAAUUAUCUGUUGAAUAAAUGUGCUAUCAGCCUCCUGGGACUGAUAUUUGCAACAUAUUUAGUCUCCGCUGAUGUGGGGAUGCUUCAACAAGGUUAAGAAAUUCGAUUCGAAUCGUCUGUUUCUCGCAGUUAUUGAGUCUGCUUGACCACUAUGAUGUUGCAUUGAGUAAGAAGAUGAACAAUGAUAAUGCUUAAUAUUGAGGCUUGAUUUAAUUGCUUAUUCUACCAUGCUUGCUUAGAAUAGAUGCUUAUCUAGAAUGGUUAAUCAACUAGAAUUUGAUGCUAAAACUGGAAAGCAAGGACCCACUUUAGAAGCUUUUGGCAAAAACAACCCCUCAACCAAAAAGCCUUGCAUGUCUAGGAGUCGGUGGAUUAGAUACCACCUGUCGGGUAAGCCUUGCGGAGUAUUAGUAUACUCAGCCUUACUUGUGGCUUUGUUUUCAAGUAAUGAAAUUGAUGAAAUGGUCGCUAGUUUGAUUUAGCCGUGCCAGCUCCCUCCGGGAUGGAUGGUUGAGUGGGACACGUCCUCGAUGGACGAGGACCGUGGUGAGUGAUGUCAUGGACGGUUUCACCAUGAUGUCAUGUAUCGUCGUUAGAUUAUCGUUUCUUUCUGCUGCACUUGAACUUUGAACCACUUUAUGAAUUUUGAACUCAAUUUGUAAUAAAUAAAUAUGGACCUCUGUGAUAUUUUCAUCUGAAUUGUUGUAAUCUCUGGGCUCAUCUUCGUACGAGUAUUUGUUUGCUUGUUUCGAUCUCAAAUACAUGGUUGUAUCGGGUGGAACCUAACAGACUGCCAUCUUGAUCCGAUUAACGUGUCUGAUCGCAUUUAAGGCGAUGUUUGGCACACUUAAGCCAGAUAAAUUUGGGCGGUUCUAGAAUAGCAAGGGGUUGAAGGGAAAAUGGUGAGAACAUUGAAACUCUACAAGUGUGGGAGGUAAGGGUACGAGGGGCUUAAAAUCAAGGAAGGCUGACAAAACCAAAUUACUAGUCUUCCCAACCCAAAAUCCAACUUAAAGGUUAAAGAUCACUUCUCAAACCAAACCACUAGCUAAACAUGUGAGGGUCCAGGCCGCUUAAGACCGUGAGCACGGUUGUUAUAACAAAUUUUACAUUCUAUAGAGGUUGUACAGUUUUACCCACGAGUCGUGAUACCCGUCACGCCGAGGUGGCCAAACCUCUUACACAUUUCCUAACGUGUUGGCAUGGAUUCAGUAGGAGGCCUUUGUAAAGGAUCCACCAAUAGUUGUUGGCACACUCCUUGUUGAGUAUUGGCCCUGCCCUCAUCAGCGCCGUCUAGACACACCCAUCACUGAUUUGUCCUAAUUAAUUUGCCAAGCCGAUUAGGUCUCAUGGUUGCACGGGUUUCUUGGGUGAUCGCUCCACGUAAUGGUCCUUAACUUGAGCAAGACAUAAGCAUCCAUGUAACCUUAAAUCCAUUCUUCUCAUUUCCAUAAACCAUCAUACAAACAUUUGCUCAAGCCCUAAGGUUCCAUGUUGCUAAAACAUUACCAACCCACAUUGUUGCAUAGUUUCUUAGUCAAGAUUAAGAUUAAACCAACCCAUGUAGAGCAAACUAAGCAUAUGAACUACUCUUAAAUAAAACAACUCUCUAAGGGCUUCAAGAAAUGUUAAGAACAAAUCUAGUAAACCCUACAUAGAAUUCCCAGCAAAUUGACUCGAUGUAGUGUAUAAAGCAUAAAACAAAGCGUGAUAUUAUUGUAAAUGCAUGGAAACAAGGAGUAUACAACAAAAACACUUGCCUUCUUCAAGCUCGCUGUCCAAACUUCACGUACUAUUGAUCUGUCCAAAAGCUGCUCAUAGCAACUAUUGAAAAUAAACAUACAUACAAAAGUAUAAGAACAAUACAUCAAAUAGUGAUAAAACGGUAUGAAAAUCAUUUUAAAAGAAUGGGCUCAUCGCUUCGAACGCGUGAGUGCAAGAAUCACCUAAAACGGUUAUAAGCAUUUUACUAACGAGCGACUAAACUGUAAAUCUAGCAUUUCUGAAAUUAUUUAAUCACUGGAAAAUAAGAAUUAUGACAUCAGCGAGGUGAUUUAUGACGUUAGCAAGGUAGCUUGUAAGUUGCACAAGAGAUAGAUAAACAUUGGCUGGAUUUCCGGAUUUCUCAGGGCUAGACUGCAAAAAAUGGCAUUCUUGACUUUGGUUGACCAGUCCCCUGGGCGGAUCUGAUGCGCGCAUAGCCGAUCGGGCGGCCAAGGGCGCUCGCUCGGUCCUUUCGCCUGUGCCGCCUAGAAACAGGGCUCCGCGGUGGCGGAGCUCACCGGCGGUCGGGUGCAACGGCGCUACGGCGCACAGGGGACGCCGGUGUGUGGCGGAAUUGGAAGAGGGGAGGAUGGGGAGGCUCACCAUGAGCUCGGUGCCUCGGUUCAGCCGGAGAAGCGGCGAAUCAGCCUGUUAACGGAGCGGAGCGGAAGGAGCCACGGGCGUGCGGCGUGGGUGAGGUGGCGGCCUGGGAUUCACGCGGUUGGGCGUGGGGGAUGUGUCACCGUGUCCCUGUGAGGCCAAGGGAGAAAGGAGGAGAGGGAGAGGAGCUCUGGAGGCGGCAAAUGGGGGCGGCGGAGCUCUUCACUGUGCGAGUGGAGAACGGCCAAAAUCGUCGGCGAUUCUUGCAUGGGAAGUGGAGGUGGCGGCGUGGGAGAGCGAAAGGCAGGGCUCUGCCACACGGGAUUUAUAGUGGAGGAAGAGCUCGGGAGGGAGAGAAAUUUGGAGGCGGACGGCGCGGUCGC